rnacentral:rRNA from 1 species
AACGCGAAGAACCUUACCUACUCUUGACAUCCUCAGAAGCUUGUAGAGAUACGAGUGUGCCUUCGGGAACUGAGAGACAGGUGCUGCAUGGCUGUCGUCCGCUCGUGUUGUGAAAUGUUGGGUUAAGUCCCGCAACGAGCGCAACCCUUAUCCUUGUUUGCCAGCACUUCGGGUGGGAACUCCAGGGAGACUGCCGGUGAUAAACCGGAGGAAGGUGGGGACGACGUCAAGUCAUCAUGGCCCUUACGAGUAGGGCUACACACGUGCUACAAUGGCGCAUACAGAGGGCAGCCAACUUGCGAGAGUGAGCGAAUCCCAAAAAGUGCGUCGUAGUCCGGAUUGGAGUCUGCAACUCGACUCCAUGAAGUCGGAAUCGCUAGUAAUCGUGGAUCAGAAUGCCACGGUGAAUACGUUCCCGGGUCUUGUACACA